UCUCACAUCAUAAAGCAACAUAGUUUUAAUGUGUGGUGUUGUCUGUGCAGUUAAUGGAAGCACGUGCACCUGAGGCGCAGCGUCCACUGGUUCCUCAGCCUCGCCCGCCUCACUUCUAUGACCAGUAUGCAGAAAGGAG